UGAGUGCAGAGUAGGAGAUAGGAAUUCCACGUGUAGCGGUGAAAUGCGUAGAGAUGUGGAGGAACACCAGUGGCGAAGGCGACUCUCUGGUCUGUAACUGACGCUGAGGAGCGAAAGCGUGGGGAGCGAACAGGAUUAGAUACCCUGGUAGUCCACGCCGUAAACGAUGAGUGCUAAGUGUUAGGGGGUUUCCGCCCCUUAGUGCUGCAGCUAACGCAUUAAGCACUCCGCCUGGGGAGUACGGUCGCAAGACUGAAACUCAAAGGAAUUGACGGGGGCCCGCACAAGCGGUGGAGCAUGUGGUUUAAUUCGAAGCAACGCGAAGAACCUUACCAGGUCUUGACAUCCUCUGACAACCCUAGAGAUAGGGCUUUCCCUUCGGGGACAGAGUGACAGGUGGUGCAUGGUUGUCGUCAGCUCGUGUCGUGAGAUGUUGGGUUAAGUCCCGCAACGAGCGCAACCCUUGAUCUUAGUUGCCAGCAUUCAGUUGGGCACUCUAAGGUGACUGCCGGUGACAAACCGGAGGAAGGUGGGGAUGACGUCAAAUCAUCAUGCCCCUUAUGACCUGGGCUACACACGUGCUACAAUGGACAGAACAAAGGGCUGCGAGACCGCAAGGUUUAGCCAAUCCCACAAAUCUGUUCUCAGUUCGGAUCGCAUCUGCAACUCGACUGCGUGAAGCUGGAAUCGCUAGUAAUCGCGGAUCAGCAUGCCGCGGUGAAUACUU
rnacentral:rRNA from 1 species